rnacentral:tRNA from 2 species
UAGGCGUUAGUCUAAACAAGACAGCUGAUUUCGACUCAGCAAAUCUGGUCAAACACCAGACACCUAC